CGCACUCACCGCAUCCCCGGCUCGGCCCCGCUCGGGCUGCCCUGCCCGGGCAUUGUGCGGCUCAGAUCAGCCCGCACAAAGGGCCCGCAUCCCGGCCAAGUUAAAAGAAAAGCCUGCUAGGAAGCGCCGGCGACAAAUUACUACUUCAGCGCUGGAUUAAAUGUAAAAGCCCUUCACAGAGCCGCAGAUAAAUCCUGCGCGCUAGAAGGAACCAUAAAAGUACUCGUUCAAGAGCUGCAGGCACAAGUGGAAAAUUGACCCCAAAGAUUUUUUUUUUUUAAGUAGACGAAGUUUAUAAAAUUUCUGCGGCCGCCGCAGGGAGAGGGUCGCGGCAGUGCAGCGCUCCCGGGCACCGGAGCUGGACACGUCCGCGGCCACCGGAGCGAGCAUUCCGCGAAACCCCGGCAAGCUUUUCCUCCCGUGUCUCUGUUCCCAGCUCCCGUUAUUGUCUGGCUCGGGCUGGAUCACCCAGAGCUGCUGAUGGCCCCUCCACACUGCCCAGGCCCCACAGCUGGGAAAACCUGGGUGCCUCUCACACACACAGAGCCUGGAUGAUGCUCCGAGGAGCUUGGCUCUCUUAGGGAUUGCUAAGAAACAUUUCUGGGGGCAAGGAAGGGUUUUUGUCUGGUGCCCGGGGCAUGGCGCAGGCAGAGAGCAGCCCCAGCAGUGUCCCACCCUGGCAUGGGCACCUCAGGAACCAGCCAAGCCCUGUCACCUCCCAAAAGCCACCUUGGGCUGGCAGGGAGUGGAGAACAGACCAGCCUGAACCCCUCAGCAGACAGACAGCACCCACCCAGGGUGUUCCCAAAAUCCCAGGUUCCCUGGGCAGGGAGCGUGGUGUAAUCCCCAAACCCUGCUCCAGAGGCUCUCAGCUCCGAGCACUGCCUGAAACUGGGGCUGUGCCUCACCCCCAGCUCACAGCUUCUGUCUCUGCUGAGGAAAUUACACAACCAAAUGCCUGCUCGAGACCAGCCACUAAACCGCUCCCAUAGUAUUAUCCUAAAAUUUGCUAAUAGUGGCUCUUUCACAUAAAUUAAGUGAUAAUGAAAAAAAGCCUCCCUUUGAAUUUAUAUAUAUUUCAGCAGAGAAUAAUGUUUUAUUUAAAAUAGUUACAGCGUGCCUUUUGAUUUGGAGUUUAAAGUAAAUAAUAUUUGUACAUCUAAAACAUACUCAAGACAAAUGAAAAGCCUCUAGAUGCUUUUGUAUGAGAUGCUGAAGAGCUCUACAAACUUAAAAGCACAACCUCAAUUAAGCCCAUCUUCAUCUGGAAAAAAAUUAGCAACUGAAAGCUGAAUAUAUUAGAUAAUGCACACUUGCAGGAGAGCAUUCUCUUAGCAAAAAAUUCUUGAUAACCAACCUAAAGCUGGCCUUCGAGUUGCUCGAUGCUAAUUUUGUUUGAAACUGUUUAACUAACUCUGAAUAGAUAUCCAUAUUCAACAAAGACAUAAUUAAUGGCAACCUUUUCUUCUGCUUAGAAGACAUCAUAACAAGCAGAAAAGUACAAAAAGAUUUUUAUAGUAACUAAUUUAAGGACAAAGGGUUGACCUCUAGCAUUUCAUUAAAUAAAUGGAGCGAAUGAAAGAAGA